AGCUGGAUAGCUCAGUCAGUAGAGCAUGAGACCCUUAACCCCAGGGUGGUGGGUUUGAGCCCCAUGUUGGGUA